UACGGAUGGUGCAAGCGUUGUCCGGAUUUAUUGGGGUUAAAGGGUGCGUAGGCGGCCCUGUAAGUCAGUGGUGAAAUUCUUGAGCUUAACUGAAGGAUUGCCAUUGAUACUGUAGGGCUUGAGUACAGAUGAGGUAGGCGGAAUUGAUGGUGUAGCGGUGAAAUGCAUAGAUACCAUCAAGAACACCGAUUGCGAAGGCAGCUUACUAAGCUGUAACUGACGCUGAGGCACGAAAGUGUGGGGAUCAAACAGG
rnacentral:rRNA from 1 species